rnacentral:rRNA from 1 species
GAUGAACGCUGGCGGCGCGCCUAACACAUGCAAGUCGAACGAUUAAAGCACCUUCGGGUGUGUAUAAAGUGGCGAACGGCUGAGGAACACGUGGGCAACCUGCCCCUUUCAUUGGGAUAGCCACGGGAAACCGUGGAUAAUAACGAAUACUUCGAGACUUCCGCAUGGAAGACUCGAGAAAGCUCCGGCGGAGAGGGAUGGGCCCGCGGCCUGUUAGCUUGUUGGUGGGGUAACGGCCUACCAAGGCAAUGAUGGGUAGCUGGGUUGAGAGACCGACCAGCCAGAUUGGGACUGAGACACGGCCCAGACUCCUACGGGAGGCAGCAGUGGGGAAUCUUGCACAAUGGGCGAAAGCCUGAUGCAGCGACGCCGCGUGCGGGAUGAAGGCCUUCGGGUUGUAAACCGCUUUCAGCAGGGACGAGGCGAAAGUGACGGUACCUGCAGAAGAAGCCCCGGCUAACUACGUG